rnacentral:rRNA from 1 species
GCUCAGGACGAACGCUGGCGGCAUGCCUAACACAUGCAAGUCGAACGAGAAAGUUCCUUCGGGAGCAAUUAAAGUGGCGCACGGGUGAGUAACGCGUAGACAAUCUGCCCUUCAGUCUGGGACAACUUUUCGAAAGGAGAGCUAAUACCGGAUAACAAUGCAUGACACAAGUUGUAUAUUUGAAAGCUUUAUGUGCUGAAGGAGGGGUCUGCGUCCCAUUAGCUAGUUGGUAGGGUAAAGGCUUACCAAGGCAACGAUGGGUAGCGGGUUUGAGAGGACGAUCCGCCACACUGGAACUGAGACACGGUCCAGACUCCUACGGGAGGCAGCAGUGGGGAAUAUUGCACAAUGGAGGAAACUCUGAUGCAGCAAUGUCGCGUGAGUGAAGAAGGCCCUUGGGUCGUAAAGCUCUUUUAUGGGGGAAGAUGAUGACGGUACCCCAAGAAUAAGCACCGGCUAACUAUGUGCCAGCAGCCGCGGUAAUACAUAGGGUGCGAGCGUUGUUCGGAAUUACUGGGCGUAAAGGGCGCGCAGGCGGAAUAGUAAGUCGGAGGUGAAAGCCCGGGGCUCAACCCCGGAGGGUCUUUCGAAACUACUAAUCUAGAGAGGGUCAGGGGCCGGCAGAAUUCCUGGUGUAGAGGUGAAAUUCGUAGAUAUCAGGAGGAAUACCGGUGGCGAAGGCGGCCGGCUGGGGCCACUCUGACGCUGAGGCGCGAAAGCGUGGGGAGCAAACAGGAUUAGAUACCCUGGUAGUCCACGCCGUAAACGAUGAGCACUGGACGUCCGGAGGGUUCGACCCUUCUGGGUGUCUCAGCUAACGCAUUAAGUGCUCCGCCUGGGGAGUACGGUCGCAAGACUAAAACU